CAUUGGGAAGCUAAACCUCAAGCGUUAACCUUUUAAGUUAAAGAAUGGGAGCACAGACCUCCCCUCAAUGA
rnacentral:tRNA from 2 species